UGGCGACGGGUGAGUAAUAUAUCGGAACGUACCCAAGAGUGGGGGAUAACGUAGCGAAAGUUACGCUAAUACCGCAUACGAUCUAAGGAUGAAAGCAGGGGACCGCAAGGCCUUGUGCUCCUGGAGCGGCCGAUAUCUGAUUAGCUAGUUGGUAGGGUAAAGGCCUACCAAGGCUACGAUCAGUAGCUGGUCUGAGAGGACGACCAGCCACACUGGAACUGAGACACGGUCCAGACUCCUACGGGAGGCAGCAGUGGGGAAUUUUGGACAAUGGGCGCAAGCCUGAUCCAGCAAUGCCGCGUGAGUGAAGAAGGCCUUCGGGUUGUAAAGCUCUUUUGUCAGGGAAGAAACGGUGAAGGCUAAUAUCCUUUGCUAAUGACGGUACCUGAAGAAUAAGCACCGGCUAACUACGUGCCAGCAGCCGCGGUAAUACGUAGGGUGCAAGCGUUAAUCGGAAUUACUGGGCGUAAAGCGUGCGCAGGCGGUUUUGUAAGUCUGAUGUGAAAUCCCCGGGCUCAACCUGGGAAUUGCAUUGGAGACUGCAAGGCUAGAAUCUGGCAGAGGGGGGUAGAAUUCCACGUGUAGCAGUGAAAUGCGUAGAGAUGUGGAGGAACACCGAUGGCGAAGGCAGCCCCCUGGGUCAAGAUUGACGCUCAUGCACGAAAGCGUGGGGAGCAAACAGGAUUAGAUACCCUGGUAGUCCACGCCCUAAACGAUGUCUACUAGUUGUCGGGUUUUAAUUAACUUGGUAACGCAGCUAACGCGUGAAGUAGACCGCCUGGGGAGUACGGUCGCAAGAUUAAAACUCAAAGGAAUUGACGGGGACCCGCACAAGCGGUGGAUGAUGUGGAUUAAUUCGAUGCAACGCGAAAAACCUUACCUACCCUUGACAUGUACGGAAGCCACGAGAGAUCGAGGUGUGCUCGAAAGAGAACCGUAACACAGGUGCUGCAUGGCUGUCGUCAGCUCGUGUCGUGAGAUGUUGGGUUAAGUCCCGCAACGAGCGCAACCCUUGUCAUUAGUUGCUACGAAAGAGCACUCUAAUGAGACUGCCGGUGACAAACCGGAGGAAGGUGGGGAUGACGUCAAGUCCUCAUGGCCCUUAUGGGUAGGGCUUCACACGUCAUACAAUGGUACAUACAGAGGGCCGCCAACCCGCGAGGGGGAGCUAAUCCCAGAAAGUGUAUCGUAGUCCGGAUUGUAGUCUGCAACUCGACUAC
rnacentral:rRNA from 1 species